rnacentral:rRNA from 1 species
AGUGAACGCUGGCGGCAGGCCUAAUACAUGCAAGUCGAACGGCAGCACAGUGGAGCUUGCUCCAUGGGUGGCGAGUGGCGGACGGGUGAGGAAUACAUGGGAAUCUGCCCGGUCGUGGGGGAUAACGUAUGGAAACGUACGCUAAUACCGCAUGCGCCCUUCGGGGAAGGUACGGGACCGGCAAGGCCUGACGCGAUUGGAUGAGCCCACUGUUCGAUUAACUAAGUUGGUCGGGGUAACGGGCCCGACCCAACGGACGACGAUCGAUAGCUGGUCUGAGAGGAGUGAUCAGCCACACUGGAACUGAGACACGGUCCAGACUCCUACGGGAGGCAGCAGUAGGGAA